AACGUAGGGGACAAGCGUUAUCCGGAUUUACUGGGCGUAAAGGGCUCGUAGGCGGCCAACUAAGUCAGACGUGAAAUCCCUCGGCUUAACCGGGGAACUGCGUCUGAUACUGGAUGGCUUGAGUUUGGGAGAGGGAUGCGGAAUUCCAGGUGUAGCGGUGAAAUGCGUAGAUAUCUGGAGGAACACCGGUGGCGAAGGCGGCAUCCUGGACCAACACUGACGCUGAGUGAGCGAAAGCCAGGGGAGCAAACGGG
rnacentral:rRNA from 1 species